CCUAAUACAUGCAAGUUGAGCGCUGAAGGUUGGUACUUGUACCGACUGGAUGAGCAGCGAACGGGUGAGUAACGCGUGGGGAAUCUGCCUUUGAGCGGGGGACAACAUUUGGAAACGAAUGCUAAUACCGCAUAAAAACUUUAAACACAAGUUUUAAGUUUGAAAGAUGCAAUUGCAUCACUCAAAGAUGAUCCCGCGUUGUAUUAGCUAGUUGGUGAGGUAAAGGCUCACCAAGGCGAUGAUACAUAGCCGACCUGAGAGGGUGAUCGGCCACAUUGGGACUGAGACACGGCCCAAACUCCUACGGGAGGCAGCAGUAGGGAAUCUUCGGCAAUGGACGAAAGUCUGACCGAGCAACGCCGCGUGAGUGAAGAAGGUUUUCGGAUCGUAAAACUCUGUUGGUAGAGAAGAACGUUGGUGAGAGUGGAAAGCUCAUCAAGUGACGGUAACUACCCAGAAAGGGACGGCUAACUACGUGCCAGCAGCCGCGGUAAUACGUAGGUCCCGAGCGUUGUCCGGAUUUAUUGGGCGUAAAGCGAGCGCAGGUGGUUUAUUAAGUCUGGUGUAAAAGGCAGUGGCUCAACCAUUGUAUGCAUUGGAAACUGGUAGACUUGAGUGCAGGAGAGGAGAGUGGAAUUCCAUGUGUAGCGGUGAAAUGCGUAGAUAUAUGGAGGAACACCGGUGGCGAAAGCGGCUCUCUGGCCUGUAACUGACACUGAG
rnacentral:rRNA from 1 species